GUAAGAUGUUUGCUGUGGACUGUUUGCUGUAUCCUGAUGCUGAUAGCUGUUAGCUGUUAGUCGUUUCCAGUUUGCCUGUUCUUGGUUCCAGUUUGCCUGUUCCUGGUUCCAGUUUGCCUGUUCCUGGUUCCAGUUUGCCUGUUCCUGGCUCCAGUUUGCCUGUUCCUGGUUCCAGUUUGCCUGUUCCUGAUUGCAGUUUGCCUGUUCCUGGCUCCAGUUUGCCUGUUCCUGGUUCCAGUUUGCCUGUUCCUGGCUCCUGGUUUGUGUUCUUCCUGAAUUUUGGACAUCAAAUCAUGUUUUCCUGCACCAAGCCUGCCAUCUCUGCAUCUUGGGGUUCGUCACCACCAAUAUUUGACACCAAAGGACGUUCUUACCCGCCAGGUAACGAGAAGCCGGCGCUUGGUGAGACUUCACCUCCUGGUUGCGCCUCGUCCUCGGGGGGGCCUUUCGCCAGUAAUGGCCUUCAAACCACCUGACAGGCAGGAUGGACGUGAGCGGGAGAAAAGUCCAACAUGAUGUCAUGAAGCUCAAGUGCUGACCGGGUAACAUUCCUUGCUGCUAACGAGCUGCAGGUCUCUUCCUGACUGCGCUCCAAUUUAUUGACAAUUUCAUGUCAGCGCCUUCACUUCACGUCCAAGUUCUGGUUUCACAACGUCAACUCUGGACUGACACACACACACACGCCGUGUUACAUGGCCUAUCAUUUUAACAACACUCAGUAAAGGUUUGGCAACUGAGGAGA